GCCUGGGUGGCUCAGUUGGUUAAGCAUCUGACUCUUGAUCUCAGCUCAGGUCUUGAUCUCAGGGUCGUGAGUUCAAGUCUCACGUUGGGCU
rnacentral:tRNA from 1 species